UCUAGACUCCCAUUAGCCAUGCGUUGGGUGUAGUACUAAAUGAUCCAGUAUGGUGGCCAAAUCCCAAGAAGUUUGAUCCAGAUCGUUUCAGCCCGGAGAAAGUGUCAGAGCGCCACCCCUACUCCUUUCAACCGUUUGGUUUUGCUGGCAAGAGGAAGUGUCCUGGGUACCGUUUCGCUUACGCAGAAGUGGCUACGGCACUAGCGAACAUUCUGCUGAGGUUUCAGGUUCAUGAGGUCAAAGGUCAGAAGGUCAAGGCCAAGUAUGGACUAGUUACAACCCCUGAAGACGAAGUCUGGAUAACACUGACUGAGAGAACCUCCAAUAAUUCAGUUAAAUAGAUGGAAUUAAAUUUAUUAUUAAAAAAAAACUUCAACCGACAUUUGUCAGAGUGACGUCAUUAAAAAGAAUUAUGUUAAGUACAAGAGUACUGGAGUACAAAUCUGAGAAGCAGCCUUCUUUUUCAUUUCAAAAUUGACGGUAUCUCAACACAAGUACAUUUUGUUUAUUCAUAUUGUUCUAUUUCCUUGUCAAAGACCGUUGAUUUACUCCAUCAUCAUACAACCCGCAAUUUGCAGAUCAUAAAAGAUUUAAUGUCUAUCCAUAUAGAUUUGAUUUUAUGUAAGAACCGUCUAUCUAUAUAAUU